rnacentral:rRNA from 1 species
UACAGAGGGGGGCAAGCGUUAUUCGGAAUUAUUGGGCGUAAAGGGCGCGUAGGCGGCCUGGCAAGUGGAAGGUGAAAUCCCUCGGCUUAACCGAGGAACUGCCCUCCAAACUGCUUGGCUUGAGACCAGGAGAGGUGAGUGGAAUUCCCAGUGUAGCGGUGAAAUGCGUAGAUAUUGGGAGGAACACCAGUGGCGAAGGCGGCUCACUGGAACGGUACUGACGCUGAGACGCGAAAGCGUGGGGAGCGAACAGG